rnacentral:misc_RNA from 1 species
UUAAGUUCAGCGGGUUUUCUUGCUCGAUUUCAGACCAAGUUAUCAAACAAUGAUCCAGGGAUCACUGAGAGUGUAUUUUGGUUGAGUGUAAGAUCAUCCGGACAAUGGAAUCGCUUCUCAUCAAGAGGUAACGAAUGGGCUAACAUCUGUUGCACUUGAGAGAACCGAACCAAGAAAGGCCGGUUGCAAACACAAUCAUU